AGUGAACGCUGGCGGUAGGCCUAACACAUGCAAGUCGAACGGCAGCACAGGAGAGCUUGCUCUCUGGGUGGCGAGUGGCGGACGGGUGAGGAAUACAUCGGAAUCUACUUUUUCGUGGGGGAUAACGUAGGGAAACUUACGCUAAUACCGCAUACGACCUACGGGUGAAAGCAGGGGAUCUUCGGACCUUGCGCGAUUGAAUGAGCCGAUGUCGGAUUAGCUAGUUGGCGGGGUAAAGGCCCACCAAGGCGACGAUCCGUAGCUGGUCUGAGAGGAUGGUCAGCCCCACUGGAACUGAGACACGGUCCAGACUCCUACGGGAGGCAGCAGUGGGGAAUAUUGGACAAUGGGCGCAAGCCUGAUCCAGCCAUACCGCGUGGGUGAAGAAGGCCUUCGGGUUGUAAAGCCCUUUUGUCGGGAAAGAAAUCCAGCUGGUUAAUACCCGGUUGGGAUGACGGUACCCAAAGAAUAAGCACCGGCUAACUUCGUGCCAGCCGCCGCCGUAA
rnacentral:rRNA from 1 species